AUACGACUUUUCGGCAAUGGCGGUCGUAUAAAUUCGGAUAUAAAUCGCCCGGAACUAUAACAAUACAUGAAAGUGACGUUAUCCGUAUUUUGUCGUUUGAAACUUUUUUAAAUAUUUUUAUUUUUUUUUUUUUUUGACGUGCCUAUAACACGUACCAUAUAGUAUGGCGAAAUAUUGACGGGUUGUCUAUAAUAAGGUAAGAACAUACGGAAUACGGUUUUAAUGAAACUAUCAGCCACAAAAUAUCUAUAAUAUUAAUUUAAUUAUUUGUUUUACGGUGCGAGGUUUCAACGUUGUCGCGUUGCGUGCGGUUUUAAUUUUAUUAUUUCGAUUAUGGUACGCGGGUAUUUAUGUUUUAUUCGUUUUAAAACGUUCACAAUUCAAAAUCUAACAGAAAAAUGCACCGGUUCUUAUCUUGUAAAAAUAUACAUGUGUACACAUGUAUGGGUAUUAAAAUUCGAAAUCGGUCGCCGUCGUGAACCGACGGAGUCUCAUACGUUCGACGGUAUUGACCUUAUUGCAUCAUUGUCGACGAGAUUGUUGAACACUCUUUAAUGCAUUAGUAUCUGCAGUGUGCAGCGUUUUGUUUUUGUUUUUGUUUUUGUUUUUUUCUAUCGAAUAGACUUUUCGGAUCCCUAGCGAAUUUAUUUCAGCGGCUUCGUUCGGUAGGGGUGACGGGAGAAAGUCAACCGGGUAAUAUUCGUUCCGGACUAACUGUCAGAGCCUUUUAGCGGCAUUUUCGGCUCUUUGGGUUUAGGGAGAGAUGGGGAAAUAUCUAAAAAUGUUCCCGCGGACAAUAUAAAUCCGUGGUUCGAUUAUUCUAUUUUCUUCGUGGCUCUUAACGAUACGAUUAUUAAAUGUUAAAAUAUACUCAAAACAAAUGCUGAAAUGACGCGAAAAUGUGUCUGAUUCUCCGUGAACGUGAACAUUUUAAAUAUAAAUACUCAUUACGAAAUGCAAUAUUCGAGAGCAGCGAUACAUUUUUUUUUUAAUAGAGGGUAGGGGUGUUGAAUAAGUCAUUUUCGACAAAUUUGGUGAGUACGUCCCAAUUCAAGAUCCAAGAUUAUUGUAUAAAAUUAUAUCGGAACGGUGAAUUAACCUAUACGAUGCGUGUUUUUUGUUCGAAAAAUUGAUAAAAAAAAACUAUUUCUAAAAUCGUUUAAAAUUAUUGCACUAUUACUAAGCGAUUCGCGUCGAAAGAAGAUAAUAAUUUGGGAUUUUAGUCGAUUUGUAUAUUUCGUUAUUUUAAUGUUGGUAUUUUAACGUAAACGACGAGAAUGACUAGAAAAACGUUGCAAAUAAUUUUUUUUUUUCAGAUUUAACAUUCCGAUUUUUACAACUGGAACAGCAACGCGACGAUGUUAACUGACACGGUGCCAUCACCGUCACCAAUACUAUUAUCACCACCGCCGCCGCCACCACCACCACCACCACCAACACCGCCAUUACCACUAAUACCGUCGCUACUAACAUCUCCAUUGCCGCCACCAACAUCGCCAUCAUCACCACCACCACCACCACCAACACCAACAUCACCACCGCCACCACCACCACCACCACCAACACCAACAUCGCCACCACCACCACCACCACUACCUCCAUCACCAGCGCCAGUGCAGUUACAGUGCAAUUGCGAUUAUCCGCAGCCUCCGGACGCCGACGUCAUAACGGCCGUAUCCACCGACUCGCCGACCGCCGUGCGCGUUCCCGCAGCCGUUGCCGCCGCCGAUGACCGGGUGCCAAAGUCGUUUUGGAGACGGUCCGUGGAACACGUUGCCGAUUGGGUGACGCACGCCCGUGAGCGCUUCUGUUUCUGUCCGAGUUCCCGUAGCAAAUAUUACGACUGAUAUAUAUCGACACGUUUUUUUCACCCCCGGAUCCGCGAGUUUUAUCUUACAGAUUUUUUUUUUUCGAUUAUAAUAUUACGUAUAUUUUCACACAUCUGUAAAUAACAUGAUUUCGAGAACGCGGUCGGUGACCCGAAUUCACUUGCCAUAAAAUGGUUAAUUUUCAAAAUAUACUCAACGAAUACAUUUUUUCAUUUUUACUAUUCAUAUUAUGCGACAGAUCUACUCUAAGCACCCGACUACGUUGACUACGUUUUUAAUAUAAAUAACUUACCUAUAUCUUUAGUUUCGGAAAACAAAAAUAUAAUUAAUUUAAAAAUCAUUAAGUAUACUCGUAAUACUAUUUAUAAUCCCCGUACGUCACGUGUUUUUUGCUAAUUUUGCCACGACCGUAAAACUGUAUUUAUCAGCACCCAAAGACGUUUACGACGAAAUAUUAUUUUAUAUGAAAUCAUGUGAAUAAUAAUAAAAUAUAAAGAAUAAAGCAUAUAACAAACAUAAAACAUGAGGUUCUAAAAAUCGACAUUUUUGAAACCUAAACUAUUUUUUAUGCAAUAAGUUUGUAUUCCGAUUUUUAUUUUUUGUACAGACGAAAUUUUGUAUACACGGUUUGAACUAUAAUAAUGAUGUAUAAUAACCAAUUUGUUGCUG